AGAGUUUGAUCAUGGCUCAGGAUGAACGCUGGCGGCGUGCCUAAUGCAUGUAAGUCGCACGCACUGCCUUUCGGGGCAGUGAGUGGCGGACGGCUGAGGAACACGUGGGUAACCCGCCCCUUUGUGGGGGACAACCACGCGAAAGCGUGGGCUAAUCCCGCAUACGCUCGCCUCUGUGGAGGAGGUGAGGAAAGCACUUCGGUGCGCAGAGGGAGGGGCCUGCGGCCCAUCAGGUAGUUGGCGGGGUAACGGCCCACCAAGCCGGUGACGGGUCCCUGGUCUGAGAGGACGACCAGGCAGACUGGGACUGAGACACGGCCCAGACUCCUACGGGAGGCAGCAGCAAGGAAUUUUCCCCACUGGGCGCAAGCCUGAGGGAGCAACGCCGCGUGGAGGACGACGGCCUUCGGGUUGUAAACUCCUUUUCGGGGGGAAGAUCCAGACGGUACCCCCGGAAUAAGCCCCGGCUAACUCCGUGCCAGCAGCCGCGGUAAUACGGAGGGGGCAAGCGUUGUCCGGACUUACUGGGCGUAAAGGGUGCGUAGGCGGUCUUGUGCGUCGGUGCUGAAAGCGCCCGGCUUAACCGGGCGAGGCGUGCCGAUACGAUAAGACUUGAGGGGCAGCGAGGGUGGCGGAACUCCUGGUGUAGUGGUGAAAUGCGUAGAGAUCAGGAAGAACACCCGUGGCGCAAGCGGCCACCUGGCUGCCAACUGACGCU
rnacentral:rRNA from 1 species